UACUUCAGCGACAAUAAUUAUUGCUGUUCCAACAGGAAUUAAAGUUUUUCGAUGAUUAUGCAA
rnacentral:lncRNA from 1 species